rnacentral:rRNA from 1 species
CAGCAGCCACGGUAACACGUAGGGUGCGAGCGUUAAUCGGAAUUACUGGGCGUAAAGCGUGCGCAGGCGGUUGUGUAAGACAGGUGUGAAAUCCCCGGGCUUAACCUGGGAGCUGCGCUUGUGACUGCACAGCUAGAGUAUGGCAGAGGGGGGUGGAAUUCCACGUGUAGCAGUGAAAUGCGUAGAGAUGUGGAGGAACACCGAUGGCGAAGGCAGCCCCCUGGGCCAAUACUGACGCUCAUGCACGAAAGCGUGGGGAGCAAACAGGAUUAGAUACCCCCGUAGUCCCUGUCUCUUAUAC